GAAAAAGCCAUGACGAGAGAGGGCAUUUGCCAUCACAAAUAUUCUGAGGCCUCGACGAAGUUCUGCAGCUUCGGCUUUCCUUGGGCUCCACUCUGCCAAAUUCCAGAUUUUACUUUUUUUACACAAAAAAUUAUCUCGACUCGUGCAAUUUAUCCAAGCCCCCGCUUUACCUUCCCUGCCUCUGCCUCUCCGUUCUCUUCCGAUCCCGCCAAACCCAGGCGAUCAUGUCGUCCAAGCAAGGUGGGAAGUUGAAGCCCUUGAAGCAGCCCAAGUCUGAGAAGAAGGCAUAUGACGAGGCGGAUCUUGCAAAAAUACAAAAGAAGAAAGAGGAGGAGAAGGCACUCAAGGAAUUGAGGACUAAAGCAUCCCAGAAGGGUGCAUUUGGAGGCACAGGUCUAAAGAAGAGUGGAAAGAAAUAAUCUGUGUUAUAUGUUCUACUGCCUACAUAUUUAGAACUUAGCACAUGGACUAGGUUCAAUCCUUGUAAAUUAGCAAAUAUUGUCAUGUACUUUGUUUGAUUACGUUGAUGGAAAUGCUGUAUGUUUUGAUUA